GUGAUCAAAAGAUAACUAAUUAAAUAUAUGGGUUGAUUAUGUAAAUCAUCCAUAACUUGUAUAGUGGGCUAAAAGGCUCCAUGGAUUACCAAGUUGGGUUAAACCUAUAGGAUGCUCCAUGGGAGUUACAAACCCAUGGGCCAUGGAAAUGAAGAGUCAUGUCACAUUAGGGUUUACAUGGUGUAACCUUAGAUGUGACACACUAUAUAAGGAACAUGUUAUCUACCAAAAUCGGCUACACACUAAGGAAAAGAGAGGGAAAGCCGAUUUUUAGAGUGUUAUACAUUCUUUCAAAGCCAUUCCAAAGCAUUUGGUGUUGUGUGAAGCAUUUGAGGCAUCACACUUGGGGUGCUAGGCUCUCAAGGUUUUCAAGGAAUCAAAUCAACUACAAGGUAUGUAAUUCUAAACAUCUUUUAGAAUAAAAGUUUCCCAUGUAUGCUAGAUAGGAAUAUGAACCUUGGAUAUCAUAUUUUGCAUGUAUCUUAGAAAAACAUAGAUCCAAGGUUUUCUAGGGUUGCAUGUACACUUAGGGGUGUUAGAGUGCUGAAAACCCUUCAGUGGUAUUAGAGCCUAGGCUUGUUUGUAAAUACUUGAUGCAAAAUAGUGAUAAAAGUCGAUUUUUUGCUGUCUGCACAGGGGACUCGACGAGUCCAUGGGGAGGACUCGACCCAUGGACUCGUCGAGUCCAAGUGAAAAUGCAACCAACUCGGCGAGUCAGUUCGUGCACUCAACGAGUUGGUCAUGCAGAAUGCAGAAAUUUGAUUUUUGCUGCUGGAAAUGGACUAGAAACAUUACCCUAAAUUGUUUUGGUGUUGUAAAACUUGUUUUAGAUGAUGUAGUUGUUGUUCUAAUCCAUUUACAAUGGCUAAUAUCAAAUUUUCAUGAUUAUAUGUGCCCAUAUGUUCUUGAAACUUUGAUAUGAAUAUUCAUGUUCUUAUGAGUUUUGAUAGAUCAUAGGAGUUACUUUUUUAAAUGAUUAAUUCAUGAUCUUUAUGUGUUUUAAUGGAGUCCAUAACUUGUCCUCAAGUUAUGGAUAACCAAAAGUAUCUUUGUGUUAGAACCCAUUAAAAGAACACAUAAGUUAUAAAAUGAAGAGUCUUCAUUUUAAUGACUCAUAAGUUAUGAAUGUGAAAGGUUUUGUAAAGUUACAAAACUUGCCCUCAAGUUUUGGAACAUGUAAAUCACUUAAUAAACUUUAGUUCCAACCCCUAGAUUUUUAAAAGUUAAAAAUCAACCCAUAUACUUUAUANCCUUAUACUUAUAUUAUUAUGAUUUAAUAAUUAUAUAUAUAUGUAUAAGAACAAAGUCGUCUUACCGCUAGUACGCCUCAUUCACGAAGCCGGUCUAUAAGGUGGGUAUAAGGUUGUUGCCUAUAAAAUGGUGACUUAAUGGGUGUCCACUCUCACCCACCGCUUGCUUGAUCGGUGGAGGGUCGUUAGCCGAACGGGUAAGACAAGGACUUAUUAAUUCUCAUUCAAAGUAUGAUGAAUAUUAUAAAGUAACUAAAUGUUUUAUUAAAUUCCCAAUCUUAUGUUACUUUAGAAAAAUGUGAAAAAGGUGCUAAUCCAUGAAAUUACACUUUACACUUUGUUUAAGUCGUUGGUGGAGCGUGUGUGGUUAACCGGUACACUAACUUNGACUUAACAAGGUAGGUAAAGGGUGACUUAGGGUUUAUUAUAGUAUCGAUGGAGCGCGUGUGGUUAACCGGCACAUCGAUUGAGUGAUAAACUUUAAGGGUACCAAGUGAUUUGCAUGGUUACUUCACACCUCGUUUUGUGAUCCUCGGUAUCCCAGUCACAAAACUUGGAGGGCACACUUGAGAUUGAAACAUGCCUUUGAAAAGUUCAUUGAAUCUCAAAAGAAUCUAGGAAUUUCUAAGAAUCAAUUAAAAACCUAAUAUUUAUAUUUCGUUUUUCAUGGUGGAAAUUGGUGAAUUGUCAUUCACCUACCUUUAAAAUAUGUUAUAGCUUAGAUUACGACAUACCUCUUCUAAGUUACAAUAUAUUGUGAUUGGAUCCUAGACUUAAUAUUACAUUUAGGUGUUUUAUUAAGGACUCUCUUAAUAUCUAAACUAAUCUUGUUAUCUUCUUUUCAGAUUUCUUCCAACAACACUGCUUCUGGCUCAAACCCUACUGGCUCCUUUUCCCUCAUGAAUCUAUGUGGGAGGUUCAUCUUCGAUGGUUCCAACUUUAUCGAUUGGAUCUGGAACAUCAGGAUGGUGACUCGUUAUGAGGACAAGGAAUAUGUCCUCGAUAAGGAGCUAAAGGAGAUCGAUGAGUCGACUGCUACUCCGCAAGAGAUCGUUGACUUUUGGACUCAUGAAAGAGAUCCCACCAAAGUGGCAUGCAUCAUGAUGGCCACCAUGACAGCUGAACUCCAGAAGUCCUAUGAGGACUACUACCCUUUUGAGAUGCACCAAGAUAUGAUGGAAAGAUACCAUCAGAGUGCUCGUCAAGAGUGGUAUGAAAUAAUCUGCUCCAUGAUAAUAACCAGGAUGAAGGACGGAGAUUCAAUUACGAGACACAUGCAUAAAAUGCAAAGGUAUGUGGAUCAUUUGCUGAAGCUUAAUGUGGACUUCCCUGAGGAGCUUGCAAUAGAUAUCAUUUUGCACUCCUUACCUUCGUGUUAUGAUCACUUCCGUAUGACAUAUCACAUGAAUAAAAAAGAAGUCACACUUAGCAAACUUCAAGGACUCUUAAAGACCGCAGAAACAUGUCUUAAAGGUAAGUCGGUUAUUAACUCUCCUACUCCUACUCCAAACUCCACCCCUAUCUUGGCAAUCGGGAAAGAUAGAGGGAAGAAGAGGAAGAGAUCUUCUAAGGGUACCAAGGCUAGGAACCUUGAUGGAUCUUCUUCAAGUGGAACCAAGAAAUGUUUCGUCACUUCUUCUUCUGACCCAAAAGAGGCUGAAUGAUUCUAUUGCCAUGAAAAGUCGCACUGGAAGCAGAACUGCCCAAAGUACCAGCAAGAUGUGAAGGAUGGGAAAGUUAAACCUAACCAUGCAGGUAUUUACACUAUUCUAUCUAAUAACUCACCCUAUUCUAACUCUUGGGUCCUUGAUACAGGUUGUGGUAUUCAUAUCUGUUCUGAUUUGCAGGGACUAAGAAGAAGUGAGAAUGUGGAGCAUGGAAAGAUAAACUUGAUCAUGGGGAAUAGGAAAGCUUCACCAGUCACCAAGAUUGGAGUUUAUUCUUUGUUGCUAAGUAGUGGGUUUACUUUAGAUUUGAAUAAAUGUUGUUAUUCUCCAGAAAUGACAAGAAAUAUUAUUUCCUUUCAUGCGUUGUACAAACAAGGGUUUACCUUUUCUUUUGAUAAUGAAAUUGGUGGAAUAAAUGCUUUCUUUAAUAAUGUUCUUUAUUUUAAAGCAUUACCUUGUGAUGGUGUGUAUGAAGCUAUAUCUGUUGUAGAUAAUCUAGGAAAUAAUGUAUUGUGUAUUGAUUCUUCUGAUAAUAAUAACCUGGAUAAAGCAUCGUUAUGGCAUUGUCGUCUUGGACAUGUGAGCAAGAAACGCAUAGGUCAAUUCCAAAAGGAUGGAGUCUUGGAGUCAUUUGACCUGAAGUCAGAUGAUAGUUGUGAAUCAUGCUUACUUGGAAAAAUGACAAAGUCACCCUUCACUGGUUCUUGUGCUAGUGGUGAAGGUUUGUUGGAUCUGGUACACAUGGAUGUGUGUGGACCCUUCAAAUCUGCCACAAGGGAUGCUAAUCGUUAUUAUUUGACUUUUACUGAUGAUUAUAGUAGAUAUGGAUAUGUGUAUUUAAUCAAGCAUGAGUCAGAGACUUUUGAAAGGUUUAAGGAGUUUAAACAGGAAGUCGAGAAUCAAUUGGGCAGGAACAUUAAGAUGCUUCGAUCCGAUCGAGGUGGAGAGUAUCUUAGUACAGAGUUCCUUGACUAUCUUAAGGAAUGUGGGAUUAUCUCACAAUUGACACCUCCCAGGACACCACAGCUUAAUGGUGUGGCUGAGAGGCGCAAUUGAACCUUGUUGGAUAUGGUUUGUUCCAUGAUGAGUCGAACUUCGCUACCAAUCUCAUUUUGGGGGUAUGCCUUAGUGAUUGCCGCCCAUAUCCUUAAUCUGGUCCCUACAAAGAAAGUUGCCAAAACUCCUCAUGAUAUUUGGAAUGGUAAGGUUCCCAAACUAGACCACAUCAAGAUUUGGGGUUGCGAGGCUUUCGUGAGACGCGAGACUCAUGAUAAGCUCGAACCUCGAAGUGAGAGGUGUAUUUUCAUCGGCUACCCACAUAAAUCCUUUGGUUACAUCUUCUACAGACCUAGUGACAAUGUGGUCUUUGUAGCAAGGAGGGGUUUCUUUCGAGAAAGAGAGUUCAUAAGCCAAGGAAACAGUGGGAGCCAAAUUGACCUUGAAGAAAUUGAAGAGUCAAGUGGUGAAGGAACUUCAAAUCCUAGCACUUAACCUGAGGAGGAAACUCCUAUUGAGACAAUUGACAAGUCUGUACCUCUAAGGCGUUCAACAAGGGUUAGGAAUGCACCUGAGCAUUAUUAUGGUUUCCAUAUUACUACGAAAGGUGAGACACUUAUCAGUGAUGAGACAUUGGUAAGUCUGGAUGAACCUAACAGUUACGUGGAAGCCAUGGUAGGCCCCGAGUCUUCCAAAUGGAAAGAGGCAAUGGACAGCGAGAUACAAUCCAUGUAUGAAAAUCAAGUUUGGAACUUCGUUGACAAUGUACCAAGUCGUAAGACAGUUGGGUGCAAAUGGAUCUUCAAGAAGAAGACCGAAAUGGAUGGUAAUGUACACACAUAUAAGGCGUGACUGGUUGCAAAGGGUUUUUCUCAAACUCCGGGAGUUGAUUAUGAUGAGACCUUUUCACCAGUUGCAAAGAUUAAAUCCAUUAGGGUUCUGUUAGCCAUUGCUGCAUUUCAUGAUUAUGAAAUAUGGCAAAUGGAUGUCAAAACCACCUUCCUUAAUGGAAGUUUGGCUGAAGAUGUUUACAUGAGUCAGCCAGAGGGUUUUGUCAGCAUAGAAUACCCUAAUAGAGUGUGUAAGCUCGAGAAAUCCAUUUAUGGAUUGAAACAGGCACCUCACAGAUGGAAUCUUUGCUUCGAUGAGAAAGUGAAAGAGUUUGGCUUUUCGAGGAGUGAAGAUGAAUCUUGUGUCUGUGUCAAGGCUAGUGGGAGUAUAGCUAGAUUUUUGGUACUGUAUGUGGAUGGCAUACUUGAUGGGUUUUGGUCCUAAGAACAUCCUAUGUGCUCAUACAAACCCUAAUGCUUGGAUCUAGGUUUCUCUAUUGUACAUGCAAGUUAUCCAAGACUAUAAACCCUAAUUCUAACAUUCAAGUAAUCAUAUUAACAUGAGAAUAGGUUUAAGAUGUUACCUUGAUUGUUAUGUAGCAAUAACAAUCCCAAAUCUCCUUGUAUUGACUUUAGAAAGCUUAGAGUCACAAAUGUCACUCCUCUAAUGGUUCACAAACACCAUAAGCAAGAGGAUGAAGAGGAGAGAGGAUGGAGGCUUCCCUAAAACGUGUGAAACCCUAGAAGGUUGCUUAUCCACGUUUUUGGGCCUUAAGGGGUCUAUAUAUAGUGAGGCAAUUAGGGUUAUCUAACAAGGAAACCCUAAUUUGGUUGCUUAAGCCCUAAGCAACCCAUGGAGCCCUUUCCUUAAGGCCUUGGACGAUUUCAUAUGGGCUUCCCCCAUAGAAUUCGUCCACCUUAUAAUAAAAGGCAAUCCAUGGCCCAAAUUGCAAUUAUCUUAUAAUUACAAUUCCAGUCCCUUAAGUUUAAUUAAUCUCUUUUAGUCACAAAACUAAUUACCAAUUAAUUAUUGACUAAUAUUAAUUAAACAAUAUGAUUUCUCCUUUAAUAUAUUAUUCUCAUAAUAUAUUAAUAAAUCAUAUUUAAUCCUUUCUCUCCAUAAUUCAUCCUAUCAAGUUGCUUUGGUGAAGGCAACCCAAAAGGACCAUGCACCAUCGGGUCAAGUACAUACCAAAAUAGUUAUGGACUUAGACACUAAUCCAACAGUCUCCCACUUGGAUAAGUCUAAUAACUAUUAUGCGUAUGACUUCAGAUCCUGAUCUGCAAUCGUAGCUUUCCAAAGCCGCUGUCAACUCUGAUCCUAUCAGAUACGCGUGUCCUUAGAUAAGGGAUCAUAUAUUCCUCCAUUCUAGAUAUCAUAUGAGAUAUGAUUUCAAAUCAUUCUCUUUGUACUAUAUCUCGAUUCCCGAUUUAUGACGACUGACUAAUUGAACAAAUCAAAUUAGCCCUAGCCCGGCCGAGCAUUUACGUUUGUCAUCACUAAAUCAUCGAGGGGCCCAAAGAUAUCGCUUUUAUCCUACUUUGGAUAAAAGGAACGGAUAAACUUUGAUACAAUGCUUGCUUGCACUCACUCACCGAAUCACACACAACAAUAUGUUUUAUAACACCAAGUUACUAGUGCGUUUACAUAUUAUCAAUGUGCAACCGAUUUGCAAGAUACAACUCACACAUCUCGGUUUCAAGAAUAUAAGAUGUUAUCGUCUCACCAAUCACUCGUGAUACAAUUCAUGGAGUGAUCCAAGUGAGCGUGGGUUUAAUCCAAUGCUCAAAUCAUAUUCAUAAGCACUCAUGAACGUUGCAGCAAACAUUUGCUUAUGUCUAAUACUCUUUAGACAAUCCACACACCAAUUCACGACAGUCUUCAUUCAUAUCUACUUCCAACAUAUGAACGACUGUGGCCCGUUCGAAUAAUUCGAUUAUUCUUAAUAAACUCAAUUAUUCUGGAAGUCAAAACAUGCAAAUGUGAAACACAAGAAUAAUACUAAUCCCAUAUGGCCUCAAACCUUUGAGUAUAAAUAAAACACCUUUUAUUUAUCACCAUAUCGAUUACUCAUUAUUUGUCGUUUCGGGUAAUCAACUUCUUACUUGAAUUAUUACACUUGUCCCAUGCUCCUAGCAUGCACACAAUGUUUACCUAUGGUUCUUACUUUGUGAAAUAGAUCAAAUUGAACACAUUUCCAAUCAUUCUCAUUUCACAACUCCAAAUCCUUUUUCAUAAGUGUAAGAAUAUCAAAUUCUUGCUACUUAUAGAAUAUGCUAGAUUCUAACAUUCUAUGCAACUAUCCUUUCGUAAUGUCACUGCACCAAAGUCACAAAGACUAUUGCCAAUGAUAUUACAAAGUCCUCUAUCGGAGAUUGUUACAAGACAAUUCCAUAGAUGUGAUGUCUCUCACUCAAAGUACAUUCUUUGAACAUCCUUUUGCAUAGAAGUUUCUAAUCUAGUCAUAGAUUUCUCAAUAUUCAAUUCCCAAUAUGGACACACUUCCAUAUGUUCCAUAUGACAACUCAUUCUUAAUAGAAUCUUAUCUAUUCGUAAUGAUGUCGAUAUGGUCCAUCCAAUAUGGAAACAUUUCCAUAUUUUCCAAUACUAUACUUCCAACUACUCACAAGCGACCAAUCCUCGUCGAACUUGGGAUUGUCCUUUGAUAGUUGUUUAAUUAUUUUAGUCAAAACCGAUUCUAGUCCCUUUUCCCUCUAAAUGCGCUCGACAUUUGGAAAAUUUUAGAAUGGUCAAACAUUAAAGCAUUUGCAAUCGAUCCUAUACCCGAAGCGUAUGGGACACGACGCAUAAUGUUUUAUUUGCUAUGUUCUCAAAAUUCGAAUUGUGAAGAGGGAUGCCGUAAUCAUAAUCGAAAUUUUAAGAACACACUAUGUACCUUUGACUAAAUUUAUUAACAUUUCUCAACCUAAUCCUUUAGAUUUGAAAUGAAGCAUAAUAUUCUCUCCCUUAAUUAUAGCAAAACAACUUUUCAACUCUUACAACUUUGCAAAGUAUGACUCUUGUUUUCUAUAAUUAAUAUUGCUAACCUUGCAAUACUUUCCUUAAUAAUCAUACAAUCAUAACAUUUAUGCUCCCACUAUCAUGAUGAUUAUUAUAAAACAUAACACUUAUGCUCCCACUAGCUUCGACAUGUAUUCAUAAACAUCUUAACUUUCAGAAAACAAUACUUAUUGAAUUUCUUAAGUUCAUGUUUCUAAUACUUAGUGCUUUGAUAAUCCUUUAUCAAUGCUUCUUGAACUUAUACACCUUUGCCUUCGAUAGUUCAUAUGUGUGUCUAAACAAUUAAGACUAAUUGCCAAACCUCACAAUUCAAAUUAUGGAAAGGGAUGCCGUAACCAUAAUUGAAUUUGAGAAUGCAAUUUUACAAUCACUAUCUUCUUAAAAUCUCUCUUAGUGAAAGCAUUUCUUCACAAUCAUUUUCAUGAAGGAGGAAAUCUUAUGACACUUAGAUUUGAGCGGUGUAUGUGUUCCUAUCCAUGUGAAUUUGUUAAAACCAAAGUUUACGACAAAUUCAAACUCAUAUGGACCGAACUUUCUUAAUCUUGAUUUCUUGCCUUAUGGUAGCACAGCUGCCCACCAUGUCUUCCAAGUAGUUAAGCAGCUCACCUUUUCCUAUCAAUGUACCUUUCAUUGAUUAAGGUGCUUUGCCUUUUAUGCGUUCAAAAUGAGAACUCAUAGAACUCACAUGCAUAAUUAACUCGAUUGGAUUGGCACAGAAUCAAAAUAAUGUCAACACGAUAGGUUGUAAACCUCAACUCGUGUGCUAGUGAUGAUCGAUAAGGUUUAUUUGAUUUGUUCUUGAAACCUUUCAAGACCAUUAAGACUCCCACUGACUCCUUGACAUAUAAGAUUCUCUUGUCAAUAACCAUUUCUUGACAAACAAAUAUUCAAGAGUUAGUGUAGCUUUUAUCAAAACACUUCAUAAAUUGGUCCUAGUUGGUCUUUGUCUUAUCCAAGACAUCACAACUUUCCACAUUUGAUGAAUGUUAUAAACCUUCUUAAUACUUUUCACUCAUUGUCACAAUCUUAACUCUAAGACUUGUUUUGGAACGAAGUAUGAUUGACUUCUUGAUUUGACCAUUUCUUCAAUCUUUGAUUCCUCUUCUUGGACAUACAAUUGUACCAAGACUCACUUAGAGGAUCAAUUGAGAUAUGGUUCUUAAUCAUUAAGACCUAUCAUAAAGCAUAAAAGGUACUCUCCCUUCUUCUUAGAAUGGAGAAACUUUUAUCUUUCUGCCUACUUGAUUCUUCUUAUUCGUUCUGCUAUUGAUUUAAACCUUUUCAAUCAAUUCAGAAUUACACUUAAUCUUAUAAGUAUAAUCAUAUUUACUAAACCUUUAGUAAAUCAUGACGAAUAUCUUUGUUACUCUUAUGGUGGACUUGAUCAACACGCAACUUUGUGUACUCGAUCUCCUAGUCCUUCACUUGACACUUUGUCAAUGAAUUAGUCUAAUUUCCAAAUAUGAAAUUUCUCAUUCAUCGUGCAACCAAGUUGCAUGAUUCCAAGUUUCUGUCCAAUUGAAACUUGGGCGAUGAGAAACUCUCCCUAUUUGGUAAAUUCUCGACUUUCCAUAAAUAACAUAAUAAGAACCAAAUCCAUUAUUGCUAAUAAUAGAAACAUUUUAACAUCAAUUUUUCAUACACGCCAUUGUAAGGAUAAAUAAAUAAAAUUUAAAAUCAAAAUUUAUUUUAUUGCGGAAAAAUUUGUCCUUACAAUGCAAUUCAUUGAAAAACUUAUGCUAAUACAUCUUUCUUAGCAAUCUAAUUCUAACUCUAAGUAGUAGCUCAAGAAUCUAAUCUUCGAGAAAUGCGAUCGAAAUCCAUUCCUUCACGGUUAGAUUCUGCUCACUUCUUCCCUUAAGCUUCCUUUCUUUUCUUCGAUCCUACAAAACAUCAAUUGUAAUCUUAUCACAUUAUGUAUUAAGAAUCUAGAAUAGAAGCUUAAAAGAGUUAGUUAAUGGAUUUUACCUAUAUUAGAGCCAUACGUUUCGACUCUCCCAUCUCUUAGAUCUCUUAGGUAAAUGGGGCAGCUUCGUCUCCAAUGCCCCUUCUCUUGGCAAUAAAAGCAAAUUGACUCUUUUGGAACAUGACAUGGAACUACUUCAGACAUUGCCUUUCUCUUAUGAUCAAACGUUUCGAUUAUAGCAUGUAUUUCGUUGCCAUUGUCUAUAUCUAUAGAGGUCUUAAAGGCAGAUUCACCAAUCAACUUUGCUUUUCCAUUGCGCCAAAACAUUUCUGAUUCAGCAACAAUAAGCAUAUAGGUGCGAUCUAUAAGGGUCACGUCGCAGUUCGUCAUAUAUUACUCUCUUUCGAACUCACUAUAUGAGUUAGGAAGUGACUGAAGAACCCAAUCAACAGCCAUUUCCUCACAGACAACGGAUCCCAACAUUCUUAACCUAUCAAUGUGUGACUUCAUCCCUAGGACAUGUGCACACACCGGCUUUCCUUCUUUAUGUUUACUUGCCAAAAGGGCUUGAGUGAUCUUGAACUUUUCAAGCCUUUGAACUUGUGGGUUAGGGAGAAUAAUUGGAGGAGGUGGAGGAAGUGAAGCAUGAUUUCUUGUUCCUCGAUCGAAUCGUGGAAUAUCAUCUUCAUGUGGAAUGCUUGUUCCACGGGAUUUGGGAAGACCAUAGUUGUCGAACUUUGACAUCUACAAAACGGGAGAAAACGAAUUCAAGUUAGUUGAUUGAUUGAGUCCUUAGUAAAUCACCCAAAUGAGAUACUAAGGCUAGGACCCAACACAAUAUUCUACAACUCGGGAGAGGGAUGCCGUAACCCUAAUUGCAGAAUAUUUGAAGGUAAGUGAAUGACGGUUCACUAAUUUCCACAGAAUAUUUGAAGGUAAUUGAACAUUUCAAUGGCAUGUUUAAAUUUCGAUAUGCCCUUCUUGUUUGUGACUGGGAUGCUGAGGAUCACAAAGCGGGUGUGAAUAACCAUGCAAACUUACAUGGUGCCCUCACAUGUUACAGUCACCUAUUCGAUGUGCCGGUAAACCACACACGCUCCACCGAACUAUGACAAACAUUGAGUCACCCUUUGCUACCUUUGCUUAGAACCAUUUAGUGUGCCGGUAAACCACACACGCUCCACUAACGUCUUCGCAAGGGCACAAAGUGUAAUUUCAUGGAAUUGCAUCAAUUCACUUUUGCCUAAGUAACUAAGAUUGGGAAUUUUAUGAAAACAUUUAGUUACUUUUAUACUUCAUUAUACUUAUAAUGGAAGGUUUCGUCCUAUCCUACCCGUUCGGCUAACGACCCUCCACUAGUCAAGAGUGCGGUGGGUAAGAGUGGAUACCCAUUCAAUCGCCAUUUUAUAGGCAAUUUCCUUAAACACCCCUUAUAGACCAGCUUCGUGAAUGAGGCCUACUAACGGUAAGACUGACUUUUACUCAUACAUAUAUAUAAUGUUAGACUUUUAAUGUUAUAUAUAGUAUAGGGUGUAUUUUACACUUUUAAAAUACUAGGUGGUCAAAUUUAACAAUUAUACUUUUAAUUCAAUUAAAUUGUAAACCUAAACUUUUAUGGAUUUAUUAAACCUCUUUUAAUUAUACACCUUAAUUAAUUAAUAAAACCAUAAGGGUGUGAUUUGAACUUUUUCAAAACUAUACUAGAGUUUUAGAAUUUAACAUUCCUAAUUAAACUUUUAAUCAACUUUUAAAUUCCAAAACUUGAGGGCAAGUUUUGAAACAUUUCAACACAUUAGGGUUUAGAAUUUAAAUAUACAUCAAAAUUAAACUAUUUAAUCAAAAUUUAAAUUCCAAAACUUGAGGGCAAGUUUUGAAACCUUUUUCAAAACAUUAGGGUUUCAACUAUUUAAAUUUCAAAACAACAAAACUUUUGGGGUUCAAAUUUAAACUAUAAAACCUAAAGGGCCAAAUAUGAAACUUUUCACAACAACAAGGAUCAAAUAACAAAUAAUUCAAAUUAACAUUUAAUCACAUAAUUAUCCAUAUUUGAUGAUUUCUUGCAAAAUAAUUUAUCAAUUUACUUAAAAUAAUUAAUCAAUUAUCUUAUAAGGAAACAAUUAUCCUAUUAAUUGAUAAAUAUCUUCAAUUAGAUUAAAAAUAUAGUCAAAUAUAUCAUAUAAUCGGAUUAAUAUUAAUCUAACAUGAUAAGGUAAUUAUCCCAAUGCAAAAACAGCAAGAAAUCCCGAGAUAAGCACUAUCUGACGCACCGACUCGCCGAGUCACCCUCUGGAACUCGCCGAGUAGGGCUGACUCGCCGAGUCCAAGAGUGACUCGCCGAGUCAGGUCGAACAGUGAGGCCAAAACACGAUUUUCAGUUACAUCAAGCAUCAAUACAAUAGAAACCAAUCAUGGCUCUGAUACCACUGAUGGGUUUUGGUCAUAAGACAUCCUAUGUGCUCAUACAAACCCUAAAGCUUGGAUCUAGGUUUCUCUAUUGUACAUACUUUGAAUCCAAGACUUUGAACCCUAAUUCUAGCAUAUGGAAAUCAGAAUUCACAUGUAAAUAGGUUUAAGAACAUACCUUGAUUGUUAUAUAGCAAUAACAAUCCAAUUCCUCCUUGAAUUGACCUUGGAAAGCUGAGAGUCACAAGUGUCACUCCUCUAAUGGCUUACAAACACCAUAAGCAAGUGGAGAAGGUAUAAAGAGAGAGGAGGGAGGUUAGAAUUCGUCCUUAGGACCUCUUGGGAAGGGUUAGACGAAUUCCUAAGCCCUAGGGGGUUUAUAUAGGUGUAAAGAUUAAGGUUUUAGUCCUUAUCCUUAUCUAGUUGCUUGUCCACCAAGCAACCAUAAGAUAAGUCCUAGAAACCCUUAUCCUAGUCGAAUUCUAAGGGAUUUACACCUCAAAUUCGUUCACCAUAUAUAUAAGAUAAUCCUUACCUUAUUUUGUAACUAUCACAUAAUUACAAUUCAGCCCCUCUAGUUUAAUUAAUUACACUUGAUCACAAAAUUAAUUCUUAAUUAAUUAUUGACCAAUAUUAAUUAAACAAAUAUGAUUUCUCCUUUAAUAUAUUAUUCUUAUAACAUAUUAAUAAAUCAUAAUAACCUCUCUCUCUUUAUUUAUUUCUCCAAUCAAGUUGCUUUGGUGAAGGCAACCCAAAAGGACCAUGCACCAUCGGGUCAAGUACAUACCAAAAUAGUUAUGGACUUAGACACUAAUCCAACAGUCUCCCACUUGGAUAAGUCUAAUAACUAUUCUGCGUAUGACUUCAGAUCCUGAUCUGCAAUCGUAGCUUUCCAAAGCCGCUGUCAACUCUGAUCCUAUCAGAUACGCGUGUCCUUAGAUAAGGGAUCAUAUAUUCCUCCAUUCUAGAUAUCAUAUGAGAUAUGAUUUCAAAUCAUUCUCUUUGUACUAUAUCUCGAUUCCCGAUUUAUGACGACUGACUAAUUGAACAAAUCAAAUUAGCCCUAGCCCGGCCGAGCAUUUACGUUUGUCAUCACUAAAUCAUCGAGGGGCCCAAAGAUAUCGCUUUUAUCCUACUUUGAAUAAAAGGAACGGAUAAACUUUGAUACAAUGCUUGCUUGCACUCACUCACCGAAUCACACACAACAAUAUGUUUUAUAACACCAAGUUACUAGUGCGUUUACAUAUUAUCAAUGUGCAACCGAUUUGCAAGAUAUAACUCACACAUCUCGGUUUCAAGAAUAUAAGAUGUUAUCGUCUCACCAAUCACUCGUGAUACAAUUCAUGGAGUGAUCCAAGUGAGCGUGGGUUUAAUCCAAUGCUCAAAUCAUAUUCAUAAGCACUCAUGAACGUUGCAGCAAACAUUUGCUUAUGUCUAAUACUCUUUUAGACAAUCCACACACCAAUUCACGACAGUCUUCAUUCAUAUCUACUUCCAACAUAUGAACAACUGUGGCCCGUUCGAAUAAUUCGAUUAUUCUUAAUAAAUUCAAUUAUUCUGGAAGUCAAAACAUGCAAAUGUGAAACACAAGAAUAAUACUAAUCCCAUAUGGCCUCAAACCUUUGAGUAUAAAUAAAACUCCUUUUAUUUAUCACCAUAUCGAUUACUCAUUAUUUGUCGUUUCGGGUAAUCAACUUCUUACUUGAAUUAUCACACUUGUCUCAUGCACUUAGCAUGCACACAAUGUUUACCUAUGGUUCUUACUUUUGUAAGGUGUAAUUGACAUUUGAUGAUGAAUAAAAGUUGUGUUUAUUUAUGAGUAAAGUGUUGCUAUCUCUUGUCAAUUGUUUACUAUAUUUCUUUUGCAUGUUUUGACUUCCAGAAUAAUUAUGAUUCGUAUAUCAUAUUAUUCGAAUCUCCAUAGUUGGUCAUAUGUUGGAAGUAGGUAUAAAUCAAGACUGUCAUGAGUUGUUUGUAGAGGUUUAAGUUAUUGGACAUGGCUACAACACUCAUGAGUGUUCAUAAGAUCUGAGCAUUGGACUCAACCCACGCUCACGGGUAUCACUUCAUGGAAUUUAUCUCGAGUGAUCGUGAGACAGUAAUAUCAUAUAAGUCUUCAAACCCAGAGAUAUGACUUGUUGCCUAUGAGUUGGUUAUGCGUUGAUCAUACGAAACCGCAUUGGUAACUCGAUGUUAUAAAACACAUUUUUGUGUGUGAUUCAACAAUUAGUAGAAUAAGCAUAUGAGUCGAAGUUUAUCUAUUCCUUCUUGGAUUAGAAGCGAUAUCUGGGCCCCUCGAUGAUUUUGUUUUGACCUAUGUACCGGUACCGGUCAGAACCGAAUUGGUGUGUUCAAUUUAGUUCUAUGUGAAACAAAUCGGAAAUCGGGAAACAAACUGCUGGACUAUAAGUAAGACAUUGUUCCAUGUAUUUGUCCGACUGAUAUCUAGAAUAGAGGAUUAUAUGAUCACUUAUCUUAAAUGGCACAUCAUCUCCUUCUCAGUUCCGAGAGACCUUGAAAGAGCUACGAUUGUUGAUCGGUUCCUAAAGUCAUACUUGCAGUUAUAGAUAUUAGAUUUAUCCAAUUGGGAGAUUGUUGGAUAAGGUGUCUAAGUCCAUAACUAUUUCUGGUAUGUACUUGACCCGACCCGGCAUGGUCCAUUUGGGUUGAAUGGCAUCAUGCAUUUGGAUAGAUUAAAUUAGAGAAAUAACACUUGUGGUUUAUUAAUAUAUUAUAAGUUCUAAUAUAUUAAUAGUAUUAUUUAAUUAGUAUUGAUCAAGAAUUAAUUUGGAAUUAAUUAAGUGAUCAAAAGAUAACUAAUUAAAUAUAUGGGUUGAUUAUGUAAAUCAUCCAUAACUUGUAUAGUGGGCUAAAAGGCUCCAUGGAUUAUCAAGUUGGGUUAAACCCAUAGGAUGCUCCAUGGGAGUUACAAACCCAUGGGUCAUGGAAAUGAAGAGUCAUGACACAUUAGGGUUUACAUGGUGUAACCCUAGAUGUGACACACUAUAUAAGGAACAUGUUAUCUACCAAAAUUGGCUACACACUAAG
rnacentral:lncRNA from 1 species